rnacentral:rRNA from 1 species
GAUGAACGCUGGCGGCGUGCCUAAUACAUGCAAGUCGAGCGAACGGACGAGAAGCUUGCUUUUCUGAUGUUAGCGGCGGACGGGUGAGUAACACGUGGAUAACCUACCUAUAAGACUGGGAUAACUUCGGGAAACCGGAGCUAAUACCGGAUAAUAUUUUGAACCGCAUGGUUCAAAAGUGAAAGACGGUCUUGCUGUCACUUAUAGAUGGAUCCGCGCUGCAUUAGCUAGUUGGUAAGGUAACGGCUUACCAAGGCAACGAUGCAUAGCCGACCUGAGAGGGUGAUAGGCCACACUGGAACUGAGACACGGUCCAGACUCCUAAGGGAGGCAGCAGUAGGGAAUCUUCCGCAAAGGGCGAAAGCCUGACGGAGCAACGCCGCGUGAGUGAUGAAGGUCUUCGGAUCGUAAAACUCUGUUAUUAGGGAAGAACAUAUGUGUAAGUAACUGUGCACAUCUUGACGGUACCUAAUCAGAAAGCCACGGCUAACUACGUG